rnacentral:rRNA from 1 species
AACUAUGUGCCAGCAGCUGCGGUAAUACAUAGGUCGCGAGCGUUAUUCGGAUUUAUUGGGCGUAAAGCAAGCGCAGGCGGAUUGAUAAGUUCUGUGUUAAAAGCAGCUGCUCAACAGUUGUUUGCACCGAAUACUGUCAGUCUAGAAUGUGGUAGGGAGUUUCGGAAUUAAAUAUGGAGCGGUGGAAUGUGUAGAUAUAUUUAAGAACACCAGAAGCGAAGGCGGAAACUCAGGCCAUUAUUGACGCUUAGGCUUGAAAGUGUGGGGAGCAAAUGGGAUUAGAUACCCCAGUAGUCCACACCGUAAACGAUGGGUAUUAGAUGUCGGGWUUUAAUUCUCGGCGUUGUAGCUUACGUGUUAAAUACCCCGCCUGGGUAGUACAUAUGCAAAUAUGAAACUCAAAGGAAUUGACGGGGACCUGAACAAGUGGUGGAACAUGUUGCUUAAUUCGAUAAUACACGAAAAACCUUACCAAGGUUUGACAUCCCCCGCAAAGCCAUGGAAACAUGGUGGAGGUUAUCGGGGUGACAGGUGGUGCAUGGUUGUCGUCAGCUCGUGUCAUGAGAUGUUUGGUUAAGUCCCGCAACGAGCGCAACCCUACUCCUUAGUUACCUUUUCUAGGGAGACUGAACAGUAAUGUAUAGGAAGGUUGGGAUCACGUCAAAUCAUCAUGCCCCUUAUGCCUUGGGCUGCAAACGUGUUACAAUGGCGAGUACAAUGUGUCGCAAGCUAGCGAUAGCAAGCCAAUCACCUAAAACUCGUCUCAGUUCGGAUAGGAGGCUGCAAUUCGCCUCCUUGAAGUUGGAAUCACUAGUAAUCCCGUGUCAGCUAUAUCGGGGUGAAUACGUUCCCAGGUCUUGUACAC